rnacentral:rRNA from 1 species
AACGAACGCUGGCGGCAGGCCUAACACAUGCAAGUCGAACGAAGGCCCGGAGCUUGCUCCGGUCACCUUAGUGGCGCACGGGUGAGUAACACGUGGGAACCUACCUUAGAGCGGGGAAUAACUUCGGGAAACUGAAGCUAAUACCGCAUACGCCCUUCGGGGGAAAGGCUUCGGCCACUCUUAGAUGGUCCCGCGUCCGAUUAGCUUGUUGGUGAGGUAACGGCUCACCAAGGCUACGAUCGGUAGCUGGUCUGAGAGGAUGAUCAGCCACACUGGGACUGAGACACGGCCCAGACUCCUACGGGAGGCAGCAGUGGGGAAUAUUGGACAAUGGGGGAAACCCUGAUCCAGCCAUGCCGCGUGAGUGAAGAAGGCCUUAGGGUUGUAAAGCUCUUUCAACGGGGACGAUGAUGACGGUACCCGUAGAAGAAGCCCCGGCUAACUCCG